UACGUAGGUGGCAAGCGUUGUCCGGAUUUACUGGGCGUAAAGGGCGUGCAGGCGGUUUGUUAAGUGCAGGGUGAAAGCUCCCGGCUCAACUGGGAGAGGUCCUUGCAUACUGGCGAACUCGAGGGAGGCAGAGGAAGGUGGAAUUCCCGGUGUAGUGGUGAAAUGCGUAGAUAUCGGGAGGAACACCAGUGGCGAAGGCGACUUCCUGGCCUGUUCUUGACGCUGAGGCGCGAAAGCUAGGGUAGCAAACGGG
rnacentral:rRNA from 1 species